AACGAACGCUGGCGGCGUGGUUUAGGCAUGCAAGUCGAGCGCGAACGAGAAAUUUAUUUCUCUAGUAGAGCGGCGAAAGGGUGAGUAAUGCUUGGGCAAUCUACCCCCUGCACUGGGAUAGCCACUGGAAACGGUGGGUAAUACCGGGCGGUCUCCAGGUGCCUACGGUCAUCUGGAGUAUAGGUGGGGAUCCUUAGGGACCUACCGGCAGGGGAGGAGCUCGAGUCCUAUCAGCUUGUUGGUGCGGUAACGGCGCACCAAGGCGUAGACGGGUAGCCGGACUGAGAGGUUGGCCGGCCACACUGGCACUGAGACACUGGCCAGACUCCUACGGGAGGCUGCAGUCGAGAAUCUUCCGCAAUGGACGAAAGUCUGACGGAGCGACGCCGCGUGGGGGAAGAAGGCCUUCGGGUUGUAAACUCCUGUCAGGGUUUAUGAACGCUUCCGUGGUGAAUAUCCACGGUUGUGACAAAGACC
rnacentral:rRNA from 1 species